UAUAUUUUAGUAUAUGAUGUAUAUAGAUUUUUGAUAUCUAAGGGAAUAGUUUAAUUCUAUUAAAUAUAA
rnacentral:tRNA from 1 species